CACCUCUAUAAGAACUGGAUCAACCAGACUGAGGCCCAGACAGGGCAGCGCAGCCAUCUCCCAUAUGAUGUCACCCCGGAGCAGGCCUUGAGCCACCCCGAGGUCCAGAGACGACUGGACAUCGCCCUACGCAACCUCCUCGCCAUGACUGAUAAGUUCCUUUUAGCCAUCACCUCAUCUGUGGACCAAAUUCCGUAUGUGCAACAGCCCCACCCCAGCCUACGCAUGGGAUUUCAAGAGGGCCAGGCCACCAUGGGGAGCAGAGCAGGGUGAUAGUCCUGCAGGGAGGAAGGCAGGGAGGGAGAUGGAGCCAGGGGUACUCAGAGGGGUUCCUGAAGAGAUGUGGGGAAUGCUCGAAGCUCCUGCUAGAGAGCUGAGCUGAGAGACGGCGUGCAAGUCUGUGUGUGGCCUGGUAGGAUGUCAGUGGAACCAGAGGAGGGACCCUAAAAUGAUCUCAGGGACACUUUAUUAGCUAAGAGCAAAUGAGGAGAAAAUGGGACUCUUCAGUUCCCAAUAUCAAAAAUAAAUAUUUUAAGCCCAUAAA
rnacentral:misc_RNA from 1 species